rnacentral:rRNA from 1 species
UACGGAGGGGGCUAGCGUUGUUCGGAAUUACUGGGCGUAAAGCGCACGUAGGCGGCUUUGUAAGUUAGAGGUGAAAGCCCAGAGCUCAACUCUGGAACUGCCUUUAAGACUGCAUCGCUUGAAUUGUGGAGAGGUAAGUGGAAUUCCGAGUGUAGAGGUGAAAUUCGUAGAUAUUCGGAAGAACACCAGUGGCGAAGGCGACUUACUGGACACAUAUUGACGCUGAGGCUCGAAAGCAUGGGGAGCAAACAGG